rnacentral:rRNA from 1 species
UGCAUAUCCAAAAAGCGGAGGAAAAGAAACCAACAGGGAUUGCCUUAGUAGCGGCGAGUGAAGCGGCAAAAGCUCAAAUUUGAAAUCUGGCGCCUUCGGUGUCCGAGUUGUAAUUUGAAGAUUGUAACCUUGGGGUUGGCUCUUGUCUAUGUUUCUUGGAACAGGACGUCACAGAGGGUGAGAAUCCCGUGCGAUGAGAUGCCCAAUUCUAUGUAAGGUGCUUUCGAAGAGUCGAGUUGUUUGGGAAUGCAGCUCUAAGUGGGUGGUAAAUUCCAUCUAAAGCUAAAUAUUGGCGAGAGACCGAUAGCGAACAAGUACAGUGAUGGAAAGAUGAAAAGAACUUUGAAAAGAGAGUGAAAAAGUACGUGAAAUUGUUGAAAGGGAAGGGUUUGAGAUCAGACUCGAUAUUUUGUGAGCCUUGCCUUCGUGGCGGGGUGACCCGCAGCUUAUCGGGCCAGCAUCGGUUUGGGCGGUAGGAUAAUGGCGUAGGAAUGUGACUUUACUUCGGUGAAGUGUUAUAGCCUGCGUUGAUGCUGCCUGCCUAGACCGAGGACUGCGAUUUUAUCAAGGAUGCUGGCAUAAUGAUCCCAAACCGCCCGUCUUGAACCCACGGACCA